UACAGAGGGUGCAAGCGUUAAUCGGAAUUACUGGGCGUAAAGGGCGCGUAGGUUGUUAUUUAAGUGAGAGGUGAAAUCCCCGGGCUUAACCUGGGAACUGCCACUUAUACUGGAUAACUGGAGUGCAAUAGAGGGUAGUGGAAUUUCCGGUGUAGCGGUGAAAUGCGUAGAUAUCGGAAGGAACACCAGUGGCGAAGGCGGGUCUCUGGGCCGAUACUGACGCUGAGGAGCGAAAGCGUGGGGAGCAAACAGG
rnacentral:rRNA from 1 species